rnacentral:rRNA from 1 species
GCAGUCGAACGGGAUUGGAAAUAGCAAUAUUACCAUGAGAGUGGCGCACGGGUGCGUAACACGUAUGCAAUCUGCCCCUAACUGGAAGAUAGCCCGGCGAAAGUCGGAUUAAUAUUCCAUAACAUUGCGAAACGGCAUCGUUUUGUAAUUAAAGCUCCGGCGGUUAGGGAUGAGCAUGCGCGACAUUAGCUAGAUGGCGAGGUAACGGCUCACCAUGGCUACGAUGUCUAGGGGGUCUGAGAGGAUUAUCCCCCACACUGGUACUGAGACACGGACCAGACUCCUACGGGAGGCAGCAGUAGGGAAUAUUGGGCAAUGGACGCAAGUCUGACCCAGCCAUGCCGCGUGCAGGAUGACGGCCCUAUGGGUUGUAAACUGCUUUUGUACAGGAAGUAACCCCUUUACGUGUAGAGGGCUGACAUUACUGUAAGAAUAAGGAUCGGCUAACUCCGUGCCAGCAGCCGCGGUAAUACGGAGGAUCCAAGCGUUGUCCGGAUUUAUUGGGUUUAAAGGGUGCGUAGGCGGACCAUUAAGUCAGAGGUGAAAGUUUGCGGCUUAACUGUAAAAUUGCCUUUGAAACUGGUGGUCUUGAGUACAGUUGAGGUGGGCGGAAUGUGUCAUGUAGCGGUGAAAUGCUUAGAUAUGAUACAGAACACCGAUAGCGAAGGCGGCUCACUAAACUGUAACUGACGCUGAGGCACGAAAGCGUGGGGAGCGAACAGGAUUAGAUACCCUGGUAGUCCACGCCCUAAACGUUGAAUACUCGUUGUUGGCGAUAUACAGUCAGCGACUAAGCGAAAGCAUUAAGUAUUCCACCUGGGGAGUACGACCGCAAGGGUUGAACUCAAAGGAAUUGACGGGGGCCCGCACAAGCGGAGGAGUAUGUGGUUUAAUUCGAUGAUACGCGAGGACCUUAC